GCUAGUGAAGCUUCCUUGUCAAACAAAUAUAAUAACCAUCCUGGAGUCGUAUGUGAAACAUUUUGCUAUUAACGCUGCUUUUUCAGCCAAUGAAAGGUCUCGGCACCACCAGAUGACUCCACAUGCUAACAUGAAUCUUCAUUAUGUGCCACCAGAGAAGAAUGUUGAGCUGUGUAAAGAGAUGGUGGAUGGGCUGAGAAUAACGUUUGACUUCACACUUCCAUUAAUUUUGCUCUACCCUUAUGAACAAGCUCAGUUUAAGAAGGUGACUUCUUCAAAGUUUUUUCUUCCCAUCAAAGAAAACUCAGCGAAUACUAACAGGAACCAGGAGGAGCUGUCGCCCAGCCCCCCGCUGCU